rnacentral:rRNA from 1 species
AGGCCUAACACAUGCAAGUCGACGGGAUGAGAGGAGCUUGCUCCUCGAUUCAGCGGCGGACGGGUGAGUAAUGCCUAGGAAUCUGCCUAGUAGUGGGGGACAACGUUUCGAAAGGAACGCUAAUACCGCAUACGUCCUACGGGAGAAAGUGGGGGAUCUUCGGACCUCACGCUAUUAGAUGAGCCUAGGUCGGAUUAGCUAGUUGGUAGGGUAAAGGCCUACCAAGGCGACGAUCCGUAACUGGUCUGAGAGGAUGAUCAGUCACACUGGAACUGAGACACGGUCCAGACUCCUACGGGAGGCAGCA